CAUGGCUCAGGAUGAACGCUAGCGGCAGGCCUAACACAUGCAAGUCGAGGGAGGAGCUUUCGGGCUUCGACCGGCGUACGGGUGCGUAACGCGUAUACAAUCUGCCUUUCACAUAGGGAUAGCCCGGAGAAAUUUGGAUUAAUACCUAAUGGUAUAUAAGAGUGGCAUAAUUUUUAUAUUAAAGCUUAGGUGGUGAAAGAUGAAUAUGCGUUCUAUUAGCUAGUUGGAGAGGUAACGGCUCCCCAAGGCGACGAUAGAUAGGGGUUCUGAGAGGGAUGUCCCCCACACUGGUACUGAGAUACGGACCAGACUCCUACGG
rnacentral:rRNA from 1 species